ACUAACCAGGAUUCCCCCAGUAGCGGCGAGUGAAGAGGGAUAAGCCCAUCGCUGAAUCCCACAGCCCGGCCGGGCUGCGGGAGUUGUGGCGUGAGGCGGCUUCGGGCUUGCGAGUCCGCGACGCCGAGGUCCUCCUGAUCGGGGCACCUUACCCAGAGCGGGUGUCAGGCCCGUUCUGGCGUCGGGUCUCGCGGGCCUGGAGCCACCAAGAGUCGGGUAGUUUUGGAAUGCUGCCCAAAGACGGGUGGUGAACUCCAUCCAAGGCUAAAUACUGUCACGAGACCGAUAGCAGACAAGUACCGUGAGGGAAAGUUGAAAAGAACUCUGAAGAGAGAGUUCAAGAGGACGUGAAACCGCCAAGAAGCAAACGAGCAGGACCCGCGGCACGGGCCCGUGGAGAUUCAGCGCGUCGGUCGUCGCUCCCGCCCGGUCUCGGAUCCGCAAGGACCGGGCCGGCCGGGACGGCGGCGGGCGACGCGUGCACUUCUCCCGGGCGCGGCGCUCGGGACCGGCAGCCAGGCCGGCCGAAGGAGUGCGCGCAGGUAUCUCCGUCACCCGGUCCCCUCGGGGGCUCGACGGAGGACUAAUAGCGCGCACGACGACAACGCUGGCCGUGCUGCCGAGGAAAGGACGUGAGCCGCGCCCGCCCCAACUUGGGGCUGCGCCUCCCGUCCCCCCGCAUGCCUCCCCGGCGUUCACUCUGCCGAGUGUCCGCCGAGGGACGGCAGCGGCGGGAGCGGUGAGGUGGCACGUGGCGCCUCGGGUCACCGAGCGAAGCUGGGCGCCUGCUCGACCCGUCUUGAAACACGGACCAAGGAGUCUAAUGGGCCUGCGAGUCAAGGGGCCUCUCGAAACCCCAGGGGCGCAAUGAAGGUGAAGGUCGACUCGGUCGACCGAGGUGGGAUCCCCUGCUUAGCAGGGGCGCACCACCGCCCCGCCAUAUCCGCUCUGCUCGGUGUGGCGGAGGCAGAGCGGGCACGCUAGGACCCGAAAGAUGGUGAACUAUGCCCGAGCAGGAUGAAGCCAGAGGAAACUCUGGUGGAGGUCCGCAGCGAUUCUGACGUGCAAAUCGAUCGUCCGACUUGGGUAUAGGGGCGAAAGACUAAUCGAACCA
rnacentral:rRNA from 2 species